UACGGAGGGUGCAAGCGUUAUCCGGAUUCACUGGGUUUAAAGGGUGCGUAGGCGGGCAGGUAAGUCAGUGGUGAAAUCUCCGGGCUUAACCCGGAAACUGCCGUGGAUACUAUCGAUCUUGAAUACUGUGGAGGUAAGCGGAAUAUGUCAUGUAGCGGUGAAAUGCUUAGAUAUGACAUAGAACACCGAUAGCGAAGGCAGCUUGCUACACAGUUAUUGACACUGAGGCACGAAAGCGUGGGGAGCAAACAGG
rnacentral:rRNA from 1 species